AAUCAACGCUGGCGGCGUGCCUAACACAUGCAAGUCGAGCGAGAAAAGGGGAGCAAUCCCCUGAGUACAGCGGCGCACGGGUGAGUAACACGUGGGUAAUCUGCCCUGGAGUGGGGAAUAACACCGGGAAACCGGUGCUAAUACCGCAUACGAUCACAGAGUCUGCGGAUUUUGUGAUGAAAGGAGCAAUUCGCUCUAGGAGGAGCCCGCGGCUGAUUAGCUAGUUGGUGAGGUACUGGCUCACCAAGGCAAGGAUCAGUAUCCGGUCUGAGAGGGCGGUCGGACACACUGGAACUGAUACACGGUCCAGACGCCUACGGGAGGCAGCAGUGGGGAAUUUUUUGCAAUGGGGGCAACCCUGACCAAGCAACGCCGCGUGGGUGAUGAAGUCUCUUGGGACGUAAGACCCUUUCGACGGUGACGAAACCGCAAGGUUGACGGUACCCGUAGAAGAAGCCCCGGCUAACUCCGUGCCAGCCGCCGCCGUAA
rnacentral:rRNA from 1 species